CUGUCGUAACUUCCGGCAAUAUGCUGCUACUGUACAUAGUUAUUUUAAAUACGGUUAUACCUUAUAAAAAUAUGAUGGUCCUUUGGGGAGUUUGGUGAUAUGUUUCAGGAGGAGCUGAGAGCUCAUUUCGUCACUCUGGCGGUUUGAUGUGUGGAGAGUGACCAAGAGAUAGUUCAGAUGAUUGGCGCAGUGGAGUGUGUGAUGAUGAGCUUCGCCCCGAGUCUGGAGGAGUGUCCAAAGGCCCAGAUCUUCCUACUGACCCAGGUUUUGUCUCUGCUCUUUGAGGGUCUGUUCAAGACGUUUGAGACUGAAGUAAAGAGAACUGCAGACCAGAUCAUCCCCACACAGAGUGGCACAGUUUGGUGUGGUCAAGCACCCGCAGCAGGACCAGAUCACCAAUGGAAUGCCAUUUCAACUGUGAGUGAGAUGGUCUCUGAAGAGUCAGCGUGUCACGCGAGUCUUGCCUCAGCGGUCCGCUCUUGACAUGAUGGCCAGGAUCUCGUCCCAGUUUGAAAAGACCAGGAAGGGACACAACACACUUAGAGAUGGAGAACCUUAACUCAUCUGUGCUUGUCAGAUCCCCUACCACUGCCACAACCAGUCCACCAGGAACACAUAGGAGUGCGCGGUGGACCAGCAGGCGAUGGGUGAGGCCAGGCCAAAUAAGUAGCAUUAGUCAGCAGUUUUGUCAUGGACAACUCAAAUCCUUCCUUAAACAACCCUCACUGAGCAGCAGGCUUGGCUUUGAUAUGGCCGACACACAAACACUUACCGUCUCUGUCGAUGUUUUAUUUGGAAAAAUGACACAAAAGGCGACGACCACAAGUGCAGAGAGGAGCAGACGCAGGGGAUCGUCCACUAAAACCAGUUUUGCUCCACUUUCCUUGUCAGAAGCCAUUUGUACGUGUGAUGGAGUGUUUUUCUUGUGUGUGUCAGGGUGUGUAUGUGCGUGGACAUCAAACAUGGGGCGCUUGCGUAGGUCCUCUAUUGUGCCGUGUGUGUGCGGAGGCCCUUUCCCUGCCAGUCACCGAGAGUGUCAUUAGCAAUUCAUUGUGUCUGCACUGGCCGUGCUCAGGGGGUCAGUGUGCUCAGCUGCGAAAGACCACAGAGUGUGCGUCCGCGGCUCCUUGGUAACCAAAACUUCCCCAAACGGGCCUGCUAACAUUCGUAAGAGCCGGGAUCCCCCCCUCUUCUUUUUCUUCCUUUUGCUUCACCUCCGUUUCUUACUCCCUUCCCCCCGCCCCCCACAUCUUUUCAGAGACACAGACUGGAACUAUAUUUGGCCCAAUAUCCUUCGCCUUGUCUGUGUUGUGUGGACAGCCCUAUACAUGUGCAAAUCUGGUUGUGUGGCCCGGCCCAUUAUCACAGACUCUCUGCUUGUAAUUUGAUUGUGAAGUAAUAGCAUCUGACAAAUGUCAAGGCUUCCAGGGAGGCCGAGCAUUAUGCCAAAGCUCACCCCCUACCUCCACUCGGCAGAUCUAAGGUGCUCACCAGGGCCAGAGUCGACCUUCCCAGCAUGGAGGAAGUGACUAGAGAAUCCCAAUCUUUUGCAGAUAAUACAUAUAAAUAUAUAUUCUGUUUGGCAGGUGCCAUCAGUUACAACCAGAGGUACCGCACCGACUGCUGUGAUGUAUCUGCUGGUAUAUUCUCAGUGGCCCAUGGUCAAAACCAAUACCAUCAUGCUGACUAACUUUCAGAAACUGCCAUAGCCAUGAUAAACUACUGCGGCUACAACAGUGAGGAUGCUUUGGACCUAAAUAAGGCAUCACUUCACUGAGGUGACAGGAACUGAUCUUUAAGUGUAAAUGCAAAACGUCAUUUAAACGGUGCAGUAACUAUUCCUUCCAGGUUUUGGCCCAUGCCUUGUUCAGGACCUUGCUCUUUGAAAUGGUGCUGGACGCCGCCACAGGGAGCCCAAUUUGGAUGCACAACAUCUUGGAUGCUGAUGGAAUCUGUUGACCUGGUGAGCAAGUGCAAAACAAGCAGCCGCUUGUGCCCAUCUCGACCGUCACUGAGACACCACUGGAGGGCAGUACCCUGCCAGGACAGUCCGAGUACAAAGAGGUGCCCAUCAGGUGAGGCCACAGUCGCCCAUCACACCUGCAUGACUUCUCUGUAUGGACUUUCAAAGUAAAGUAAAGAUCUGCUGUCCUGUGAGCAGUCCUACAGGAAAAAAUCCAAAUUAUCUGGAGGCCUUUUAUUUUGUAAUUUGAGAACCUCAAGACACUAUAAUCUGUACCUUUGAACUUCAUCAUGUCUUGAAUCUGUAAUAACCAUAACAUUACUCUAUUACUAUAUUUUUACAACGGUAUGAACCUGACAUUCAGCUUUGUUUAAUUAUUGAUUUAUAAUAAAUUUUUGUUACACUUUUUUUACGUAUACAUAUAUGUAUGUGUAAAAAAGUGUAAAAGAAAUCUAUAUACAUAUAUAUGUAAAAAAAGUGUAAUAAACAAAAACACAAAAAAAUUCCUAAAAUCAAUAAGAAAUAUUUGAAACAAAAAAGUUACAAAUGUGUCUUGCUACAAAGGUCAUCGAGAAGGUCAUGAUCUCCUCCAAUGCGUCAGACCAGAAGACCUGAAGCUGGAGUCACAUUCAGUAGUCACCGCGGAACAGAAAGGUGCCUCAAGUCUCUUACCCUAUGGUUACUGUUAACACUGGUUUAACAUAGCACAUCUUCCGAGCGUCGCCCGAGUCACGUCCCACGGCUGCUGCACUGUCACUGCCCCCUAAUUCUUAUCUAACAAGAGCUCCUUUCAAUUAAUUGGCUCUUUGUGCUGGGCCAGACUAUGCAAAUGUAUUACAACCCAGCAGUAUUCUGUCACCACCGGGCUAAAUGUGUUUACAACCUCUAUUGUUUGGAGGCACCUCCCCUAAAGAGGGACUGUAUGAUGUUUUAAUCAGAAAGCUAACUGGCGCCAUGCAUAAUUUACCCCCUUCAUCAGCGGCCACUGUGGCCACUGGGCGGUCAGCUCCGGAUGGGACAAUGUCUGCCGCCCCAAAAAAAGUGACACGGGGUCGCCAGGGGGUGAGCAACAGGAGAGUGUCCUGGGUGAGAUCGUAGGACCAGAUCCUGUCAGGAGUUUGUGCUCAUGAACAUUUCUGUCUUCCUCCGAGCUGCGCAGAUGUUUAAGAUGGAGAUGAAUGUGCAACAAUAGUUUCAGUAACUGCUGCGGGUGAGCCCCAAUCUUCUCAUGAGGAGCCUUAAAGGUGCUGGUCAACAGAGCAGAAUAAGUUAAUUAUUUACUGGUCACACACACACAGCUGUAAAGUCUGUGCAGGGGUGGAGGUGGGGGAGUUGUCAGUAGUUGGGGUCCAUUGUGUGAGCCGCCAGCGUGGAGCUGCAGGAGCUGUGAUGGAGGGCUCUGCUCUCUUGCUGUUGUCUUGCUUUUCUCUGGCGAUUUCAUGCCUCUUUUAUCAUUCACUUUCACACAAAACAAACAACACAGAGGACGUCUGCUUUCAGAACUGCUCCCUCUGAGUCGCUUCACCUUUCCAACGUCCACCUACCGCUCACAACCCUCUACUUUUCAUUUAUCCGGCUUCGAUUCAUGCCUUUUUUUAGAUUCCUACUGACUUUUCUAUUCACGUUUUCUCCUUCCUGCUGAUGGAAGACUUUUCCGGUCAGUCACUUGCUGGUUCCCAGUCAACAUCCUGUUUCGACAUCCUGCAAGACAUCAGUGGAUGCUGGCGCUGCCCACUGGGCUCAUCGGGAAUUUUCCCACGUACGACGUUUCAAUUUCUCUCUAAAUGAUCCCCUCCACUUCCUGUCAGAUCACCAAAGUUAGGGGUGUGUAAUCCCACUCUCUUAAGCACCUUUCUCCACUUCCUGCUUCUGUUCCUUUCUCUCUCUCUCUCUCUCUCCCCGCCUUGCGAUUUUUUUCAUUUGCAAAUGGGUCUACAAUCUGUUUACCCGAGCCGGGGAAGAGUGCUUUGGCCCCUCGGCAAACAUUUGCACUCACACUUAAACACUGCCCACCAGUCUGCUCGUCCCCCUUGUCAUGUGAAUCAGAAGAGGACUGUCUGUCCACAUGAGUUUAGAAAUGUCAGCAGCUUUGCCAGAGGUUCACACACAAAGCCUCUCCGCAGCCAAGUGCGCAACAACCAAAAGCUGCUCGAAACAUGAAGGUGCUCGCAUCCAAGCGCUCCCAACCGUCAAAACACACUUCAGUUUUGUGUGACUACAAAACCUUUUUGUGUUCCUGAAACUAUAUUUCUCUAUUUGUCACGACUGUGUUCACUCAUUGUCCCGCAGGACGACGUACUGUUCUGUGGCAUCAUCCAGUCACAGAGAAGUCCGCAUGCACUCAAAUCACAGUCUCUCUGCCGCGUUUUGGUCGACAUCGACUAAUGUCUGUGUCCUGUGUGGCAAGCUGUCCGGGGCCCCCGCCUCUUGCCCUGUGUAGCUGGGAUGUGUGCCUUCUACUUGAAGUUUCACACAUUAGGCAUUUUAUUUUUAUGUUUUUAAGUACAACAUAUGAAUGAUGUUGACAUACUCAGAGCACUUUUGUGUUCAGCAUGAAACCGAUUUG